rnacentral:tRNA from 1 species
GGGAAUACAGCUCAGUGGUAGAAUGCGUGCUUAGCGGGCAUGAGAUCCUGGGUUCGAUCCCAGUACCUCCA